CACGCCGUAAACGAUGUCGACUUGGAGGUUGUUCCCUUGAGGAGUGGCUUCCGGAGCUAACGCGUUAAGUCGACCGCCUGGGGAGUACGGCCGCAAGGUUAAAACUCAAAUGAAUUGACGGGGGCCCGCACAAGCGGUGGAGCAUGUGGUUUAAUUCGAUGCAACGCGAAGAACCUUACCUACUCUUGACAUCCAGAGAACUUNGCAGAGAUGCUUUGGUGCCUUCGGGAACUCUGAGACAGGUGCUGCAUGGCUGUCGUCAGCUCGUGUUGUGAAAUGUUGGGUUAAGUCCCGCAACGAGCGCAACCCUUAUCCUUUGUUGCCAGCGCGUGAUGGCGGGAACUCAAAGGAGACUGCCGGUGAUAAACCGGAGGAAGGUGGGGAUGACGUCAAGUCAUCAUGGCCCUUACGAGUAGGGCUACACACGUGCUACAAUGGCGCAUACAAAGAGAAGCGACCUCGCGAGAGCAAGCGGACCUCACAAAGUGCGUCGUAGUCCGGAUCGGAGUCUGCAACUCGACUCCGUGAAGUCGGAAUCGCUAGUAAUCGUGGAUCAGAAUGCCACGGUGAAUACGUUCCCGGGCCUUGUACACACCGCCCGUCACACCAUGGGAGUGGGUUGCAAAAGAAGUAGGUAGCUUAACCUUCGGGAGGGCGCUUACCACUUUGUGAUUCAUGACUGGGGUGAAGUC
rnacentral:rRNA from 1 species